rnacentral:rRNA from 1 species
AUGCACCAACUUCGGACUAUCAUUACACCUGGCGGUAGCAAGUCAUCAUUCACUUUACUACCUCUGCUAUGCACGGAGUCAAGAUAUAUGACAGUGUUAGAAUUAAGUGGGCUGCCUAUCGAGGAGAUUCCAGAUGCUAUUGGAGAUCUGUUUAAUCUCCAUCAUUUGGGUUUGCGUAAUUCAAAAGUGAAGAAGCUCCCUAAGUCUGUGCAGAAGCUUUCAAAUUGGUUGAUAUUCGACCUUUAUGAAUCUGAUAUACAUGAGCUCCCUAGUGGGAUUGUGAAACUGAAGAAGCUUAGGCACUUAUUUGCUCAGAAAACAAUUGAUACAGAUUGGAGAGAGCUUGCAAGUUGCAGUAGUGUGCAUAUCCCCAAUGGACUUGGAAAUCUAAUAAACCUUCAGACGCUACAAGCAUUGGAAUUAGAGGAUGAUUCUGUUGGACAUUUAGGGGAGCUGAGGCAAGUGAGAAGCUUGAGGUUACUGAAUGUGAAGGCAAUCUACUGUAGAAGUAUCAGUGAGUCUCUAGUUCAGAUGCAGUAUUUGUCCUUCCUAGAUGUGAAUGCAAGUGAUGAAAACGAGAUCCUCGGAUUGAAUGUCUGCCUGCCAAACCUGCAGAAGCUAAGUUUGAGAGGGCGACUAGCGGAAGGGGCGCUGGACGAGUCUUCUCUCUUCCAAGCCAUUAAGGGGCAGAACUUGUAUUCAUUGGUUCUAUCUUGGUCACAGCUGAGAGAAGACCCCUUGCCAUCCCUUUCUCGGUUGUCAAACUUUACGCGUCUACAGCUCAGCAGAGCAUACAACGGAGAGCAGCUGACAUUUCUCAUGGGGUGGUUUCCCAAGCUGAAGAUUCUCGUUCUAAGAACCUGCCUAAUCUAA